GCUCCGUGUGUUCCCUCAUAAGAUAGUUAGCUGUCUCAACCCAUUCGGAGCACGGAGUUGGCUUGUGAGGACGUGGUGGGAUCAAGCCGUGAGCGCAGCGAGUUCACUCUGACGGUUCGGAUUAACUAAAACGUGGCCUGCAGUACAUGCGUCGGGAAGGGUUUGACGGAUUGGAUCAACAGUUGUUUCGUUUCUAGUGCUGUUAUCGGCUACGUGAAAGAGUCACACCUGCUGCAAGUCACUGUUUACUAUGUCUGUGCAUGGCUAUGUCGUCUUGCGAAUGCUUCGGCCAUAACUCAUUGCACGCACACAUGUUGGACGGGAUGUGGUAUAUUGUGUUAUUCCGCAAUGAUGUGAUUUGCAGACGUAGGGAACUGAAGGUUGAGAAAGGUGAUGGGUGAUGGCGUGUUGUCGGUGUUGAUUGAUCAUUAACCAGGAGCAGUAGAUUGUGGAGAAAUAAAAUUGGUGUUAAGAUGUCAUAAUGGAAGAACAAAUCAAAGCAACUUUUAGAGAAUUACAUUUGGAUUUAAAGUGCUGUUGUGAUGUUGCAAUUGAUAUUCUUUCAAAAUACUAUGAAGACAAAUUUGAAAGUAUUACAUCA